UAAUAUGUGCAAGAAGCUUCCUUCGGAUGCAGCUGACUUUGUGAUGGAAGCUGUUCCCCUGCUGACAAACCUUCUUCAGUAUCAUGAUGCAAAAGUGUUGGAGCAUGCUUCAGUUUGUUUGACUCGUAUUGCGGAGGCGUUUGCCUCAUGUCCGGAUAAAUUAGACGAACUAUGUAACCAUGGACUUGUUACACAAGCUGCCUCACUUAUUUCCACCAGCAGUACUGGA
rnacentral:misc_RNA from 1 species